AAAUUGAAGAGUUUGAUCAUGGCUCAGAUUGAACGCUGGCGGCAGGCCUAACACAUGCAAGUCGAGCGGUAGCACAGAGAGCUUGCUCUCGGGUGACGAGCGGCGGACGGGUGAGUAAUGUCUGGGAAACUGCCUGAUGGAGGGGGAUAACUACUGGAAACGGUAGCUAAUACC
rnacentral:rRNA from 2 species